rnacentral:rRNA from 1 species
UACGUAGGGACCAAGCGUUGUUCGGAUUUACUGGGCGUAAAGGGCGCGUAGGCGGCAUAUUAAGUCAGCUGUGAAAUCUCCGAGCUUAACUCGGAACUGUCAGCUGAUACUGAUGUGCUAGAGUGCAGAAGGGGCAAUCGGAAUUCUUGGUGUAGCGGUGAAAUGCGUAGAUAUCAAGAGGAACACCUGAGGUGAAGACGGGUUGCUGGGCUGACACUGACGCUGAUAGCGCGAAAGCGUGGGGAGCGAACAGG